rnacentral:misc_RNA from 1 species
UCAAAACAGCGGGCUUCGGCCCUCGCUGCACCCUUGUCUUUUGCGCACCGUAUUGUUUCCUCGGCGGGCUUGCCUGCCGGUUGGACAUCAUCAAACCUUUUUGUAGCUGCAAUCAGCGUCAGAAAACAAUAAUUAUUA